UACGUAGGCAGCUAGCGUUGUUCGGAAUUACUGGGCGUAAAGCGAGUGUAGGCGGUUUGCCAAGUCCGUUGUGAAAUCUCCCGGCUCAACUGGGAGGGUGCGGCGGAAACUGGCAGGCUAGAGUGCGGAAUGGGAGAGUGGAAUUCCUGGUGUAGCGGUGAAAUGCGUAGAUAUCAGGAGGAACACCGGUGGUGAAGACGGCUCUCUGGACCGCUACUGACGCUGAGACUCGAAAGCGUGGGGAGCAAACAGG
rnacentral:rRNA from 1 species